UGGGUUGCUACCUUUGGGCAACAAUGGGAAAGGAUAAGAUACAAUAAAAUAAAGGCUUAAUUGCUUAAAAAAUUCUAUACUUUUUUUUUUCAAUUUUAGCAUAUCCUUUAAAUUUUUUCAAUCAAGUAUGUGUACUUUAUAAGUUGUAAUGUUGGUCUAUCAUCACAUGCCAUCCAAAUUCAUCGUUUAACUAUAGAUGAGAAAAUAAUAUGUUAAUACUAUUAGGAUGUCAUGUCAUACAUGAUGUUAAGCUCUAAAUAUAGAUGGGAAAAUGAGAGAAAUAACAAGAUAG
rnacentral:lncRNA from 1 species